UACGUAGGGGCCUAGCGUUGUCCGGAUUUAUUGGGCGUAAAGAGCUCGUAGGCGGUUCGGCAAGUCACGUGUGAAAUCUCCACGCUUAACGUGGAGGCGCCACGUGAAACUGCCGUGACUUGAGUCCGGUAGGGGGGUGUGGAAUUCCCGGUGUAGCGGUGAAAUGCGCAGAUAUCGGGAGGAACACCAGUAGCGAAGGCGGCACCCUGGGCCGGUACUGACGCUGAGGAGCGAAAGCGUGGGGAGCGAACAGG
rnacentral:rRNA from 1 species